rnacentral:rRNA from 1 species
CCUACGGGAGGCAGCAGUGAGGAAUAUUGGUCAAUGGACGAGAGUCUGAACCAGCCAAGUAGCGUGAAGGAUGACUGCCCUAUGGGUUGUAAACUUCUUUUAUAUGGGAAUAAAAUGUUCCACGUGUGGGAUUUUGUAUGUACCAUAUGAAUAAGGAUCGGCUAACUCCGUGCCAGCAGCCGCGGUAAUACGGAGGAUCCGAGCGUUAUCCGGAUUUAUUGGGUGUAAAGGGAGCGUAGGUGGAUUGUUAAGUCAGUUGUGAAAGUUUGCGGCUCAACCGUAAAAUUGCAGUUGAAACUGGCAGUCUUGAGUACAGUAGAGGUGGGCGGAAUUCGUGGUGUAGCGGUGAAAUGCUUAGAUAUCACGAAGAACUCCGAUUGCGAAGGCAGUUCACUGGACUGCAACUGACACUGAGGCGCGAAAGUGUGGGUAUCAAACAGGAUUAGAUACCCGAGUAGUC